ensembl:lncRNA
GCAGAUAGAUCUUACUCCUCUAAGGCUGUAUUCUUGCCCAGCAGUUAGAUGCAGUUACCUACCUUUGAGCUGAUUCCUGGAGUUAGCCUAACUCGAAUGGCUGCAAAACAGGACAUAAAUCACUUUGCGGAUCUGGGCUGUUAACUGUACUAGUAAAAAACAUCCUCUGGAUCACCAUUUUAAAUGAAAACAAACAAACAAAAACCCACCACCACCAAGAUAUUCCUGCGUGUGAUUGGGAUAGGUGUUACUCUGUUCGUGCUUACGGCCAGUGCAGAAACGGAGAAUGUCUCUAAAUUCAGCAAGUGGUGUGUGUUGCUCUAAAGGCAGCAAGUGACUCAUGUGACUGUCUUAGCAGCUGGGCAGCAAGAUUAGAGAGCUACUAUGUACACAUUCCCUUAGGGGGGGGGUCCAAGCUAUUGCUAAAUGAAGUUGUGUUACAGCCAACAACUGAAUAACGGGCAUAAGGAAUAGUAAAUAAAUGUGUCAUAAGGUUACCUCAGCGGUCGUUUCGGAUGGUCUUUGGAGUGAAGAAAAAUUGCUCCAGUUUGCAGAUAUGUAAAAGUCAUCUUGGAAUGGCUGUUCCUGACACUGCAGGAAAAAAUGAAGAUGUUAGACUAAACCUCCCAAGAGCUCCUUUCGGUCUUGAGGACCAGAGGACGUGCACUUGAUGAUUGCAGUCAAGUAAAUUGAUACAGAAAUCAAGAAAACGUGAAUAUGAAGCUCCUUAGCGCCAUUUUUAGCAUCAACAUUCAGGCCAUUAUUAUGUCUUACAGCUGAGAAUUUAUUUACCAAAGAGGAGUUUUUGUGUUUGAAAAGACCAGGUGGAGGAGAGGUCAAGCCCUCCAUCAAUUCAUUAUAGUAAAAGAGGACCAGACGUGUGUUCCUAGCCAUCAUCACUGCAUCCUGCUGCCUUUAAAAACCAGCAACUCAUUGGUUUUCUGGUCUGCUUCAGGUUUUCUGAUUUCUGCUUUCUCUUUUCCUGUUUAGAAACGACUGGUUUCCUAUUUGUUACUCUCUUUCAUGUUCAUUGCAAGUUUGUGCGACUGUUCCUCAGCAACGGUUUUGAUUUAUAUCUCUAAUAAAAAUGUAGAGCUUCGUAUAAGUUGUCAGUGCAUCAGACAGCUACCUUCCCAAGGUGAACCAUCCUGAUAAUAACAGUGCACAACACCUUGUUGAUCUGGUCCUUUUGUCUUUGCAUAUGCUGAUUUCUCUUUGUAAUGAAGUCUCUUGCUGUUUAGUGUACAAAUCUUUGAUUUGUAGGCAUUCUUUGUUGUUGUUGUUUUUAUUAGUUUUGAUUCACCCUCUUCUGAAUCUUUGGUUACUGUUUUUUUCGUGUACUGUUUUCCUGUACCAAAUUGCUGUCAUCAUUUUUUUUAUUUUUUAUUUUUUUUUGUCACACAUUACUCAUCGGUUG